UACGGAGGGUGCAAGCGUUAUCCGGAUUUACUGGGCUUAAAGGGUGCGUAGGCGGGUAGGAAAGUCAGUGGUGAAAUCUUCGGGCUUAACCCGGAAACUGCCAUUGAUACUAUUUAUCUUGAAUACUUUGGAGGUAAGCGGAAUAUGUCAUGUAGCGGUGAAAUGCUUAGAUAUGACGUAGAACACCAAUUGCGAAGGCAGCUUACUACACAGUUAUUGACACUGAGGCACGAAAGCGUGGGGAGCAAACAGG
rnacentral:rRNA from 1 species